rnacentral:tRNA from 1 species
AAGUUUUGUUAGUUUUUGUCUAUGGCCAUUUUUUCUUCUAUAUUUCUUUUUUGGUUUCAUUUUAUAAAC